rnacentral:rRNA from 1 species
AUUGAACGCUGGCGGCAUGCCUUACACAUGCAAGUCGAACGGUAGAGGGGCAACCCUCGAGAGUGGCGAACGGGUGAGUAAUGCAUCGGAACGUGCCCAGUCGUGGGGGAUAACGUAGCGAAAGCUACGCUAAUACCGCAUACGACCCGAGGGUGAAAGCGGGGGACUCGCAAGGGCCUCGCGCGAUUGGAGCGGCCGAUGUCAGAUUAGGUAGUUGGUGGGGUAAAGGCCUACCAAGCCGACGAUCUGUAGCUGGUCUGAGAGGACGACCAGCCACACUGGGACUGAGACACGGCCCAGACUCCUACGGGAGGCAGCAGUGGGGAAUUUUGGACAAUGGGCGCAAGCCUGAUCCAGCCAUGCCGCGUGCGGGAAGAAGGCCUUCGGGUUGUAAACCGCUUUUGUCAGGGAAGAAAUCUUCUGGGUUAAUACCUCGGGAGGAUGACGGUACCUGGAGAAUAAGCACCGGCUAACUACGUGCCAGCCGCCGCCGUAAAAC